AAGAGGCCCUGAUUCAACAGCAUUUGCAGGCACAUCAUCUCAGUUUAUAUUCCCCUCCCACUUCCUUUUUUUCCACUCAUCACCAUUUUCCCAUAUAUUCCUCAUGGUAGAUCUCCUUGUUGUGAGAAAGAACACACCAACAAAGGUGCAUGGACAAGGGAAGAAGACGAACGCCUCAUUAAACUACAUCAAACUUAUGGUGAAGGCUGUUGGAGAUCUCUCCCCAAAGCUGCUGGUUUGCUUCGGUGUGGAAGAGUUGUAGGCUUAGAUGGAUAAACUACCUGAGGCCUGAUCAAGAGAGGAAACUUCACUGAAGAAGAAGAUGAAGUCUCAUCAAUCUUCACAGCUUACUUGGAAACAAAUGGUCUUUGAUUGCUGCAAGGUUGCGGGAAGAAACGGACAAUGAGAUCAAGAACUACUGGAACACUCAUAUCAAAAGAAAGCUGUACAGCCGAGGGAUCGAUCCUCAAACCCACAGUCCACUCGGUUCGGUUUCCAGCACGAACAAAACAAGUACACAACAGCAAUAACUGUAGUAACAGUAUCAGCAGCAGCAACGUUAAUCGAUUCCAUACAAACGAACAGUCGUGAUGCCAUUGAUGCAAGUGCCUGCCAACAUAGAUAAUGGAGGCGCAGACUCAGCUGAAGAUUCUAACGGAAGCAGCAGCAGUGGAUUAAGUCGUGAAGAAGUUUUCCCACAAAUCAAUCUCGAACUCUCUAUCGGACUUCCGUUUCCCUUCCAGCAGUCUCGAGUUUCAUCUCAUGUCGACUUAAAUCAGUCGCAGCAGCAGCAGCAACGAGUUUCCUAGUUGUUUCAAUCGACAACGCCGGAUGUGCUUAUGUCACAGAUUAGGGUUCCGGAAAAGCCAAGCGUGUAGCUGCAGUGCCAGUGUCAUCACAACGCUGUAGCAUGCAGCUGAUUUUCUCAGGCAGAAAUUAGUAUUGAGGUGAGUAUAUUACCAACAGGAAUGUUCUAUUAAGUUUUAA